rnacentral:lncRNA from 1 species
UAAAUUCUAAUACAACAAAUUAGACAAUUUCAUGUGUUCAACGUGAAAACAAUCUGGGAAAUGUGAAAUUUAUCAUCAUAAUAACAUUCACACAACAUUAAAUAGAUAUUAGGGUCAGGUAAUAUUUCAUAUAUAUAGUUAUUAAAUAUAAGUAAUAACAUGAUAUUUAAGUAAAUAAAAUUCGUAACAGAACUAAGAAUACUACCUCUUUUUGUAUGAACGUUUCACUUUACAAUUGAAUCCAUGUAACACCACAUAUUUAGACAUCACUGAAACAAGUGUUGAUUUAUCAGUAUACAUCUGUUUCACCUUUACAUCGAUACCCUCGCUAUAACAGAUCAAGUUUUUCACUUUAAACAAUGGCACAUAUAAAGAAUAUUGAUUUUGUGUCUCAACGACUAAGAAAGCCAAAGCAUCUGAUUCAAUCCCCUCCACACAAAUGACAACUCUGAUUUCUCUAUCAAACUGGAUCUCCUCUGAACUUUUAUCAAUCAUUGAUAUGCAUAAAGGAAACAUUAUGAAUCCUGUUUGAGAUUUUUUCAAUUCAACAUACAACCUGACACCAUUAUCAUUUCGGAUACGAAAAGGUGCUUCAUUAUCAUCGACAGCAUAACGUACAUCAAUAGAUUUUCGAGUUUCGUCAAUAUCUAAUUCGGCAGCAAUUGAUGAAAUCAAACUCAAAUAAGUUAUCAAUUCUCAAUCCCUUCACUUUUGUACUUUACAUAUUCUAUUUCGGAUCUCCAUUCACCAGAGUGCCUCAAAAUAAUUGCAAUAUUCAUCUUCUUGAUUUCAAAUAAAAUCAUUUUUUUUUUCAAAUAGAUCAAAAAUCAGUGAUCAGAAAGUUUUUUAUUUAUGUUUUUCGGUUGAUUUGAUUUUUUAUGUAUUUGUUGUUUUCAAAAUUUGAAUUACAAUAACUAUUACACAAUUUAAGGGGCGUAGUAAUUCACUUUUUAAUGUUGUUGCAUGAAUUGCGUACUUAAUAAAAGGAUAAAUCGUUAUUUUCCUUUUUAAAAGUUGUUUGAAGAUUCCCAUAUGCAAAGUAGGUUAUGUAAAUGUCGG